UAAAUUAUUGCUUAGUUAAUACCAUAAAACGUUGCAAGAAGUUUAUUGGAAUUUUAAGAUUAAAAUUCCGUGAAAUUUUACAUUUCAUAUUCAGAGCUGAUAUUUGGCUAACUUCAUAACAGAGUCAAAUUUACAAAAGGCCUUCUGGAAUAGGACUCUGGUUCUGUUUUGUUGGGUUUUGGAAAGGGGUCCAUGAUUAAGAGGGAUGGCUGGGAACAUUCAUUUUGUGCUACUAGAGGCAAAAUUCUCAGACUGGCCCAAGAAAGCCUAGAGCAAAGGCAUGUGCCAAGAAUGUUUUCAUUAAUCAAGAAUGCAAGAAGUUCAAAGAUGGUCAGAUACCAUUUUAGUUCCAACCAUAAAUGGUGUUGACUGGAAAUACACAUAUAUUGAAUA
rnacentral:ncRNA from 1 species